UCAAUUUCACCUCUUUUAUCUUCCAAAUUAAUCCCUAAUUUCCAAUUCCCAUAAUCCUCCAAAUCAUCGGGUUCCGUACAGUAAGUAGUUCUACUUGAUUGAAGCGCUCGAAUUUGCAUCUCAAAACGACUGUACCGUUUCUCAUUAACGCUAUUACUAUUGAUAUUUAAUUUUUUGUUUCUAGAAUUUUCAGGAUCGGAAUCAUAAUCGUCGGAAGGUGAUAAGAACGUAUCUUUACCGUGAGAGAUGAUCUGAGCCGUUGAUUUCCAAACGGAGCUACCGAUGUCAUCAAUAGCCUGUCCCACCAACUCGAGCUUUUCCUGAGCAACUGAGG
rnacentral:lncRNA from 1 species